UGGGGAAUAUUGGACAAUGGGCGAAAGCCUGAUCCAGCCAUGCCGCGUGUGUGAAGAAGGUCUUCGGAUUGUAAAGCACUUUAAGUUGGGAGGAAGGGCAUUAACCUAAUACGUUAGUGUUUUGACGUUACCGACAGAAUAAGCACCGGCUAACUCUGUGCCAGCAGCCGCGGUAAUACAGAGGGUGCAAGAGUUAAUCGGAAUUACUGGGCGUAAAGCGCGCGUAGGUGGUUUGUUAAGUUGGAUGUGAAAUCCCCGGGCUCAACCUGGGAACUGCAUUCAAAACUGACUGACUAGAGUAUGGUAGAGGGUGGUGGAAUUUCCUGUGUAGCGGUGAAAUGCGUAGAUAUAGGAAGGAACACCAGUGGCGAAGGCGACCACCUGGACUAAUACUGACACUGAGGUGCGAAAGUGUGGGGAGCAAACA
rnacentral:rRNA from 1 species